rnacentral:rRNA from 1 species
AACGAACGCUGGCGGCAUGCCUAACACAUGCAAGUCGAACGAGACCUUCGGGUCUAGUGGCGCACGGGUGCGUAACGCGUGGGAACCUGCCUUUAGGUUCGGAAUAACUCAGAGAAAUUUGAGCUAAUACCGGAUGAUGUCUUCGGACCAAAGAUUUAUCGCCUUUAGAUGGGCCCGCGUUGGAUUAGCUAGUUGGUGGGGUAAAGGCCUACCAAGGCGACGAUCCAUAGCAGGUCUGAGAGGAUGAUCAGCCACACUGGGACUGAGACACGGCCCAGACUCCUACGGGAGGCAGCAGUGGGGAAUAUUGGACAAUGGGCGAAAGCCUGAUCCAGCAAUGCCGCGUGAGUGAUGAAGGCCUUAGGGUUGUAAAGCUCUUUUACCCGAGAUGAUAAUGACAGUAUCGGGAGAAUAAGCUCCGGCUAACUCCGUG